CCUACGUGUGGCAGCAGUGAGGAAUAUUGGUCAAUGGGCGAGAGCCUGAACCAGCCAAGUCGCGUGAGGGAUGACGGUCCUAUGGAUUGUACACCUCUUUUGUCGGGGAGCAAAAAGGCCUCGUGAUGGCAGAAGUGAGAGUACCCGAAGAAAAAGCAUCGGCUAACUCCGUGCCAGCAGCCGCGGUAAUACGGAGGAUGCGAGCGUUAUUCGGAUUUAUUGGGUUUAAAGGGUGCGUAGGCGGAUUUUUAAGUCAGCGGUAAAAUUUCGGGGCUAAACCCGGGCCUGCCGUUGAAACUGGGGUUCUUGAGUGGGCGAGAAGUAUGCGGAAUGCGUGGUGUAGCGGUGAAAUGCAUAGAUAUCACGCAGAACUCCGAUUGCGAAGGCAGCAUACCGGCGCCCAACUGACGCUGAGGCACGAAAGCGUGGGGAUCGAACAGGAUUAGAUACCCGGGUAGUC
rnacentral:rRNA from 1 species